ensembl:lncRNA
UAUCUUCAGUAACAUAGGCUUUGGAGAGUAGUUGGGGAUAGGACAAGUGAUUUUUAAAAAGAUCUCAGCUGGGGCAACAUUGGAUGAUGUUGAGAGCGCAGCAUCUGGAGCCACUUGCUAACUGGGUCAUUUUGGGCAAGUUACUUGACCUCUCGGCUACUCAUCUGUGCAAAUCCAUCUGUAAUAUAAGGGAAAUUUUCCCGCCUGUUAGUGUCAUGGGGAGGAUUAAAUCAGCCAAUUAUGUAAAAUGCUUGAGCCUGUGACAUAGCAAGGGCCAUGCAAGUGCAGCUAUGAUGAUAAUUCAUGGCUAAACUGCUGUGGCACAGUCCCUCGUUUUAGAAAUGAAGACAUGGAAUGCUGGGGCAAUUGAAAGACUUGAAAGCCUUGUCACCAAACUCAGAUUCAAAACAGAACACACAUUUCUUGACCCCCACACCCACACUGUACCCCAUUGUUGCCUCCAGUAAAACACAAAGUUUUGGACGUAACUUCUUUCUUCCCAUUGUGAUUUCUGCACUCAAUUCCAUCAGAUAGAGGAAAGAUGGUGGUAAAGAGAGAUACAGCCUUCAUUAAGCCUUUCAGUACAAUUGUACUACUUCUUUUGGUUUGACCAGAUCAAGACUGUCAGUUCUCUGGAUGUGCCUCAGGGUUUGUCGCUGGGUCAGCAGCCUUCUGCCUUACUGAUUCUGAGGAGGAAAGGAGCUAGCUCAAAGAAUGUGAAAGCCAUUUGCAGAUGUAGCUAAGUUUUCCUGUUAUCCCUGUGCUUCUAUAAUUGAAAUAAUAAUAAUGAUGGCUAAUGACUAAGAUGGAUUUCUACUGGGUUUUAAUCAAUUAGUUGACUGGGUAAAGUUAUGUUGCAAAAAGAGUAAGUUUGGAAUUAAGCCUGUACCCCAAUAAUCUUGAUGAAAAGAGAACGUGACAUUGUACUUCAAAUAAUGAGCCAGAAUGAAGAUGGUUCUUUGUGAGAGGCUUGUCCUCAUGAAUGCACAGACACCUCUUUCUCUGAGAACACUUACAGUUUUACCUCAUUAGAAGCCAGAGGCUAGAUUAAAUCAGUCACUUUCAAGUUCGUGCCCAUGAUCCAUAGCAAGAUGGACAUUUUAUAUCACAACCCAGUAUAGAUGCACACAAAUAAAAAUUAAUAUGAAACAGUUUUACCCUUGUUAAAUGGGAUGCAUUAUGAUAUUUUCAUUUUAUUUAAAAAAUACUGUUUCAAAAAUGGUUUCUAAAAAAAUACUGACUGUAAUCCAUUAGAUUGAUGUUAGGACCCACUUCUCACAUCUGACCUGCAGUUUGAAAACACCAUAUUAAAUGGAUCUUGGGGUCUCUUUUUUAGUUCUAAUACUAUAAAAAUGUUGAAUAAUUAGAAUAUUAAGAAUACAGGCCAGGCGCGGUGGCUCACGCCUGUAAUCCCAGCACUUUGGGAGGCUGAGGCGGGUGGAUCACGAGGUCAGGAGAUCGAGACCGCCCUGGCUAACACCGUGAAACCCUGUCUCUACUAAAAAAUACAAAAAAAAAAAUUAGCCUGGCGUGGUGGUGGGCACCUGUAGUCCCGGCUACUCUGGAGGCUGAGGCAGGAGAAUGGCGUGAAUCCGGGGGGCAGAGCUUGCAGUGAGCCGAGUUCGUGCCACUGCACUCCAGUCCGGGGGACAGAGUGAGACUCUGGCCACCCCCCCAAAAAAAAAAAAAAAAAAAAA